rnacentral:rRNA from 1 species
AUUGAACGCUGGCGGCAGGCCUAACACAUGCAAGUCGAACGAGUGGCGGACGGGUGAGUAAUGUCUGGGAACCUGCCCGAUGGAGGUGGAUUACUACUGGAAACGGUCGCUAAUACCGCAUACCAUCGGAUCUGCCUAGAUUGGAUUAGCUAGUAGGUGGGGUAACGGCCGACCAAGGCGACGAUCCCUAGCUGGUCUGAGAGGAUGACCAGCCACACUGGAACUGAGACACGGUCCAGACUCCUACGGGAGGCAGCAGUGGGGAAUAUUGCACAAUGGGCGAAAGCCUGAUGCAGCCAUGCCGCGUGUAUGAAGAAGGCCUUCGGGUUGUAAAGUACUUUCAGCGAGGAGGCGUUACUAGCAGAAGAAGCACCGGCUAACUCCGUGCCAGCAGCCGCGGUAAUUC